UACGUAGGGUGCAAGCGUUGUCCGGAAUUACUGGGCGUAAAGAGCUCGUAGGUGGUUUGUCGCGUUGUCCGUGAAAACUCACAACUCAAUUGUGGGCGUGCGGGCGAUACGGGCAGACUGGAGUACUGCAGGGGAGACUGGAAUUCCUGGUGUAGCGGUGGAAUGCGCAGAUAUCAGGAGGAACACCGGUGGCGAAGGCGGGUCUCUGGGCAACAACUGACGCUGAGGAGCGAAAGCGUGGGGAGCGAACAGG
rnacentral:rRNA from 1 species